AGCAUCUUGAUAGCGACAAGUAUCAAAAAAGAAAAAUGACAGAUCAGGGUGCAUCUUCGCAAUGUCCCAAGAGCAGCUGAAACAGAUUGUUAAAUUUUGGGUUGGAUGGAAGAUACCCAUGGAUAGCAUGAAAGUGGAGGUGGUUCGAGCAGAAUAUCCCACUUCAUCCACAUGCUUCCGCACCCUUCGCUUACCUGGUUACUACAACAGUUUCAGAGAAUUUAGUGUUCAUUUAGACAACUAGUUCAUUGCCACAAAUGACAGUGGAUUUGGAUUGUUGUAGAAAGUGGAAAGCUCUGAAUUCAAAGGUUAUUUCAUUAAAUUUGGUUUUCUAUUGAAUUGUAACUUAAUAAUUAAAAGAUUCUAAACAUUGUUGAAUAUCUAAGCAUUAAUCAGUUAUUCAUUGUUCCCAGAUGUUGAAAUGUUGGCUUUUAUUGAAAUGAUUUAGAGUUGUACUUGACAUUUGAACUAAUGUAUUUACAAUAAACUUGAUUAAAAACAAACAUGAAGUUGUGUUUGUGAUUGCAUGGAUAAUUAGAGUUCAUACUGAUAACUCUACACAUAGCCAAUGCUGUGCAUAUAGU